UGUAACUUUCAGUAGCUCUCUAGGCCUGAGUACUGGAGGGAGGGAGAGACGCGCCGAGGUGGGGAGAUGGGAACCCCCAGUCCUUCUACUCUCCGCUCUCGUGCAGGGACUCCCGGAUCCCUUGUUCCUCUUUAUCCCCAACACGCAGACACUCUCAGGGUUCCGCGCCCACUUCUGUAAGGCGGCCGCCGCUCCAGAGCAAGGAAGGCUGACAGCCUCCCGGCUGGACACCCAUUUCACAGCUGCCCUUGCUGCCAGGUGGGGCCAGAGAGGAAUGGGAGCCAUGUAAUGUCAUCAGAGGCUGAAGACGUCGGGCAAGUUCUUUCACGACCUGGACCAGAUGCCCCUGGCAUGGAGCUUUGACCGUGCGGUUGAAGAGACAUCCCUAAGCGAGGGCAAAGCCACCGCAUCGAAGGAAGCCACGUCCCUGACUGAGCAGAUGGAACAGAGUUGCCUGCCGGCCGGAACUGCCCCAUGGAGGCUGUUACAUGAGGAAUAAACUUGUUUUCUAGAA